rnacentral:pre_miRNA from 1 species
UGAAAAGUUUCUACUCCCCCCGAUCCAAAUUAAUUGACACUGCCUUAGUUCAACUUUUAGUACAAAGUUGUACUAACGCAGCGUCAAUUAAUAUGGAUCGGAGGGAGUACUUUUGU